rnacentral:rRNA from 1 species
CGUAGGCAGCAAGCGUUGUUCGGAAUUACUGGGCGUAAAGAGUGUGUAGGUGGUGUCGUAAGUUUGGUGUGAAAUCUCCCGGCUUAACUGGGAGGGUGCGCCGAAGACUGCGAUGCUGGAGUAUGGGAGAGGAAAGCGGAAUUCCUGGUGUAGCGGUGAAAUGCGUAGAUAUCAGGAGGAACACCUGCGGUGUAGACGGCUUUCUGGACCAUUACUGACACUGAGACACGAAAGCGUGGGUAGCAAACAGGAUUAGAUACCCUGGUAGUCCACGCCCUAAACGAUGCAUACUUAGGUGUGAGCCAUUCAGUUGGUUCGUGCCGGAGCUAACGCGUUAAGUAUGCCGCCUGGGGAGUACGGUCGCAAGGCUG